GCAGCUAUGAUGAAAUGGUAAACAUGUUGGUUUUAGAUUCCAAUCCUUAAUAGGUUGAGGGUUCGACUCCCUUUAGCUGUA
rnacentral:tRNA from 1 species